AGUGAGUUCACUAUUGCUUUGAUGUAACCCGGGAUACUCAUCAAAGCAAUAGUGAACUCACUCCACUGAAUUGGCAAACUGGUGGAGAUCAUGGAUUGUAUGAUCUAACAGGUACCGUUGAUCAUCAAUCUUACUGGAGUCAAACACAGUGGGGUGAAAAUGAUAACUCUCUUAAUUUUCUCCCUUGAAGGAACAAAAAAUUUGGAGAGGUUAUAUCUUGUUAACUAUGUUGGUAUGUAUAUUCAUUUAUCCUAUUUUUAAAUUCGGUUCAUGUUUUUAUUUUGGGUGGAGUUAGGGUUUUGAAAUUUGUAAUUUCUAUCAUGCAAAUGUAACUAACCACUCCACGCUAAUUACUUUUUUUUUUUUUGUUUAACUUUCCCGGCGGGAGUAUAUUUAGAUAUUAUUGCAAAUGAAAGUUUU
rnacentral:misc_RNA from 1 species